UGCAAGUCGAACGAGCGAGAGAGAGCUUGCUUUCUCGAGCGAGUGGCGAACGGGUGAGUAACGCGUGAGGAACCUGCCUCAAAGAGGGGGACAACAGUUGGAAACGACUGCUAAUACCGCAUAAGCCCACGACCCGGCAUCGGGUAGAGGGAAAAGGAGCAAUCCGCUUUGAGAUGGCCUCGCGUCCGAUUAGCUAGUUGGUGAGGUAAUGGCCCACCAAGGCGACGAUCGGUAGCCGGACUGAGAGGUUGAACGGCCACAUUGGGACUGAGACACGGCCCAGACUCCUACGGGAGGCAGCAGUGGGGAAUAUUGCACAAUGGGGGAAACCCUGAUGCAGCGACGCCGCGUGGAGGAAGAAGGUCUUCGGAUUGUAAACUCCUGUUGUUGAGGAAGAUAAUGACGGUACUCAACAAGGAAGUGACGGCUAACUACGUGCCAGCAGCCGCGGUAAAACGUAGGUCACAAGCGUUGUCCGGAAUUACUGGGUGUAAAGGGAGCGCAGGCGGGAAGACAAGUUGGAAGUGAAAUCCAUGGGCUCAACCCAUGAACUGCUUUCAAAACUGUUUUUCUUGAGUAGUGCAGAGGUAGGCGGAAUUCCCGGUGUAGCGGUGGAAUGCGUAGAUAUCGGGAGGAACACCAGUGGCGAAGGCGGCCUACUGGGCACCAACUGACGCUGAGGCUCGAAAGUGUGGGUAGCAAACAGGAUUAGAUACCCUGGUAGUCCACACUGUAAACGAUGAUUACUAGGUGUUGGAGGAUUGACCCCUUCAGUGCCGCAGCUAACACAAUAAGUAAUCCACCUGGGGAGUACGACCGCAAGGUUGAAACCCAAAGGAAUUGACGGGGGCCCGCACAAGCAGUGGAGUAUGUGGUUUAAUUCGACGCAACGCGAA
rnacentral:rRNA from 1 species